UGAUCUGUAAGCUUUUAAAUUGGCCUAAAGGUCAGUUAACUUUAAUCAGCCUGAGGGAUAUGGGAGGGCACCCGUGUUUAACGUACACAGUAUAUCUGUCCAUACUGCACUUCAGCUGAUUUUAAGAUGCAUUUAUAGCAAAGUGAUGGAUGCAAUACCCAGUGGCAGAAUUAAAAAAAAAAAAGUUUAACAUUAUGACAAAUUUUGAUAAUGAAUAUAGUACAAGUGUUGUAUUCAUUGUUUACAACUGUGGCUCAGCAACAGGUGCAGGCAGUAACUAAUCAGUGACUUGAGGGGGGGCCACAUGGAUCAUAACGGUUGCUUUCGAAUCUGAGCUGAACACUGAGGAUCAAUUGCAAACUCACUGAACAGAUAUGUCCCAUGUGGCCACCCUUCAAGUCGCUGACUAACUCAGCGUUAGAGAGCUGAAAAGCAGGAAGUUGUAUUCUGCUAUGUUAUGUUAGACAUCCAGUGACUCCAGCCUUUAUAGAUUACAUUUUUGCCUAACUAACUAUAAGAAACAUUUUUAUUUUGCACAGCCUAUCUAUUUACCCAGUUUUUAUUUUAUUUAUUGUAGGUAAGAUUAUAAGCAGAAAUGGCUCCUGUAUAGCAAAUGAACCCUUGGACACGUAUUUCAAUUCAAUUUGCAAGUCGAUGUUCCUUUUAUUCUAAGUUGAUUGAUGAGGUUUUGAGAUUUUUUUUCCCUCUGAAUUGUUUUCAGAGUCUCAUGCUUGCUGUUUUGGAAGAAAAGAUAAUGGAUAAUUAAACAAAAAUGCUGAAUAAUUCUGGAUAAUGUAUUGUGUCAACAAAGUAAAUCUUUAUUUUACUAAAAAUUCUCAAUGACAAAUAUGAAUGUACAAAUACAAGGACAUGGGUUUAACCCAUCUUUUUAAAAAUGCAGAAACAUGUUUAAGAACGUGUGCAGUAGCACCUGCCAACCAGGGUUGCCACCUGGCCGGUAUUUAACCGGCCUGGCCUGUAAAAAUGAUGGCUGAUCCCAAUGUUAUUAAUAGGGAAAAAAGAUAAAUUUAAAGGAAGGCCGGUAUUUUUUUCCAGAAAAGGUGGCAACCCUACUGCCAACGUUUAGGGCUAAUGGAAACUUCAUAAAUCUAGUGAAGAUAAUAUGUAAUGCACUGACUUGUAGGAGCUAGAUGAUACAGUAGCUUUGAUCUCCAGCACUGACACCAGAAAAAGAUACAAAGUUCUGAAAUUUAAUUAAAAUAAGGGGGGUUUUAGCAGAAAGCUCAGAACAUUUAGCAUCUGUACUUAGAUUUGUAACAAUUUAAGAUAAUCGAGAAUACAAUUGUAACUAUUUAAGAUAAGCAGAAGAGAACUGACUAGCAGCUUAAGGCUAGGGCCACACAGGGGCAGAAAACUGCUAGACGAAAUCCGCUGAUUUCUGCACUACAGUAGCCUCCUCUCUCUUAUGCAUUGAAUUGACUCUGCACAAACACACUUGGUGGAUUUUGGCGAAAAACCACAAAUCUCUGAAUUUUGAGCCUAGAUCUGCCGAUUCAAUGUGGAAGAGAGAGGAGGCUACUGCCGGUGGUAGGGCAGAAAUCAGCCAGUGAAUUUCAGAUAGCCGUUUUUGGCCCCCGUUUGGCCCUAGCCUAAAGGACAGUUUUACCUUCAUUAGCAAAACUGUUAUAACACAUAAAACAUGACCCUAAAACCUGCCACAUUUUUUAAAAUGGACAUAGUAAUUAUAGAUACUGAUAUUUAAAUCUUUUAGUCCCUGUUUUCAUUUUUCAAAUGUUGGGAGGUUGCACCUGCGUGAUGACGUCGGGGGGGGGCAUAUUGAUAAGCAGUAGAAGGAAUAAGAGAGGAAGGCAGAAGAGUUACCUGCCCAGCACCCUCCCCUCAUUGUGCCUCUUCUGCCUACCACUAGUUCUGGCCCGGCUUGGGAUCCUCUGAAAGGGAAUACAUUUAUACAUAAAAACAUUCAACAGAAUCUAGUCAACGAAAAAAAAGAAACACAUAAAGUAUAACAGGCUGACAACACUAUAAUUAAUUGAAAAGGCAUAAAUAAUAUAUGACAGUAAAGGCAAGGUAAAAUUACAAGGGACUAAAGUAUUUAAAUUUAGAUGAUGUGUGACAUCACCAUAAUUUUAAUAUAUUUUAAUAAUUUCCUUUACAGGUGAAUCGUAUUUUAGUUGUCUGUUAGCGCCCAAGAUUUUUUUUAUUUUGUUAAAGUAACUUUAGAAACAAUCAAAAUAAUCUCUUUGUUGUUAAUACAGUAUUUCUUAUCUUACUAGAACAAUAUGUUCAUUAUAAUUUUCAGAUAAAUAACCCAGGGCUUUGUCUUGCUUACAGGAAAAUACCCCGGAUUGGUUUGCUUACGGCCAUCUUCUGUAUUUUAACAUUGUACUGUAUUUUUAUCAUCUCAGCUGCAUUCAGCCUAUCUGUAAUUAUUCUGUGUUAGCAGUUGCCUUUCCUGCUGUACUUGAUAUUUGCCCACUGUUCUCUGCUGCUUUACUGCACACUCUUCCCAUCUGUGUUGUUAUUUCUCCAGUUACUUAACGCUCAGGAAAUAUGUUCAUAUACUGUGUGUAUUAUGCCACACCCUGUUUCACUCAAGGCUAGGAUUGCCACAUUUUCUAGAAAGAAAAUACUGACCUUCCUAUAUUUUUAUCUUUCUGUCGUUUUACUAUUAAUAAAAUUGGCACCAAACAUACUUUUUAUUGGCCCUACCCAAGGCAUACCUCUUUACCAUAGAAAUCAUGACUAUUCUGGGAAAAACAUUAAGGUUGUCAGGUAUAUAAGUAUUCAUUGAAUACAAACACCUUUUGAAAUGUGAUCUGUAUAUUGUAUGCUAAACAAUAAUAACAAUAAUAAAUGUAAAAUAGGUUAAAAAUUAAAAGAGUUUUUUGGGGGUCUGCUUCCCCUUGUGCUUUAAA